CAGGGGGCGCAAGGUUUCACUUCUCUCUUGGACACUGACGGGUCUCGACACGCAAAUUCUGCUCCUGGCGUUGGCCGUCAGUGGAAGAGCGUAGCUUCGGUGGGGUUCUGUCUGCCUCUGAUGGGGUGCGGAUGUGUGGUUCGUCACUGGUGAAUGGUGUUCGACGAUGCAGGUGGAUUUUGUGACGAGCGGAUUUACAAUGAGGGAAUGCUGUGAACGGGAAAAAUGAUGAGCUGUCCUAACCUGCCCAGACAUGUCAUGAUGACGUCACAGCUGACGUCACAGGAUGUCCGGAACUGGUGGUCAUAGCUGCGAUGCUUUGCAACCUGCUUCUGUGCUCCGUCGCCCAGCGACGGUCAGCGGCCUUUCCGGGCCGCUUUCUUCACGAUGACGUCGUUGAUCUCCAACUAAACUCCUUCUCUCCACUCUAUCUCUAUCAAUUUUUUUUAUUUUUUAUGGACUCUCAUAGUGCACAACGCUCGGGUGGUCUGGACACGAGUUAGAUGUUCCCCAAUUAGUGUGGUGGCUCCCUGGAGGGUGCUGAUUAAUGUGGGGGGUCCCAAUUAGCUCUAAUUGCUAAUUAAUGGCGUCCAGAAGCCUUGUAGCGUUGUGCACUGUGAGAGUCCAGUACCUACUACUUCUUUCAUGGCCAGCCGCUGCUCGAAACAAACAAAAACGUAGAGCACAACAGUCAUGGUGCGAAUACAUGUGAGGCUUAAAGGUCAGAUAUGCCGAUUUUGAAGUGCCGCAGAACUGAGCGAUACUCGCGCUGUGUGUUCAUUACCGAACACUGAAUAUGUGUGCGAAAUAUCUUGCUCCAACUGUUCGUAGUUUUUUAGAAAACAGAUUUUUUAGUUCCCACGCCCGGCCGUCAGACCGUCGGCAAACCCUGCGCACGGGCGCACCGACGUCACUGCUCUCGGUUUGUCUGUCUUUGGCUUGGCAUGGACUCUUGGCUUGGCUGCUUGUCGUCUUUCGUUUCCUCCUCUGUGCAUCGUACAUAAGCGAACAGCUGUUAUGUUGUUGCUAAGCCGGAAACAAAGCAUGUGAAUGUUUUUUUUGGCACAGCGUCGUUUGGAAAGUGCACUUCCUUGUUCUGACCUUGCCUUUUAUGGGCUGGAGCGAUAUGAUUCGUAAAUAUGCCACGGCGAAGUUGUCGAAGAUGCGAGAGUGCUACGCUGUUAGAACAAUUCAUCGGAGCAUUCAAGUGUUACCUAUUAUAAGCUGCCAAAAGACCAAGCAGUGCCAAGCUGACGUGGUGCCUGCUAAUUUCCACUGCAAGGAUUUCGUCCACGAAUGUUAUCAUAGGUUACGCGCGACUCCAGAGGCAAUUUGGAAUCUCGGCACGAAAUCGUCUGAUGAAAAUCCGAGGUGCCCGACGCAUAACAUUUUGAACGUGCCACGGAGGAUCAAGGCAAAAAACGAGAGCAAAAAAUGGUAAGUCGAGGUUCAGAUAUAAAAAAUAGCGAGCUUAAUGAAUCGAUUGUGCAGCUGUCCUACUGCGCUUACUCUGAUAUAACCACGAUUAACAACGCAAUAGUACUAUUGAUAAUCUAACUUCUGAAUUAUCACAGGUGCACGAUGAAGGCGGAAAUGAAGCAUGAUCUGGCUUGCAUCUGGUCAUGAAGAAAUCGCUGACACGUUAGUUGCAGUCCACCUCCACCAACAGGGUGGAAAACAAAGGUCGCCAUUCCGAUUAGCUGCUAUCUCCCAGUUCAAGCACUUUUGUGUCUGGACACUGGUUCCUGUGGAUGGGGUGUUACAAGCUUUACUGUAUGAUAUAGAAGCUACGUUACAUUAGUUCAGUUAAUUUGUCUUUUGCACAUUUUUGUUACUGUUAGCUGGAUUACUGUUGGACAUACAAUCCUUUGACACACCGAAGCUGAUGUCGCCUCUGAUAACAUUUUAGAAUUUUCAGUGUCAUCAACGUCCAUUGAGGAAGGUGCCUUUACUAUCUGUGAAUCUUCAACUGAAGAAUAGCCCACAAUUCAUGUUAACAUUGUCUACUCUUAUUAAUUCACUGUCUGUUUUCUGAGAGCUAAGAAAAAUGGAAACUAUUUAUUUGUCACAACUUCACACUGGAUACUGGUGUGGUACUGGCUUGACAUGUAAGCUAAAAUACCUGGAUUCUACAAUAAUUGUGUUCAACUUGGUGCAUUACCGUGGGCAAUGCCACAUUCACUACAUUUUUAGUGGGUCCGGUGCACAAAUACUGUGUGCAUACUGCAUACAUACAUUCUGUUCGAUAGGCAAAAAUACCUGAGCAGUGCUGUGUAGUCUUUUUACCCAAAGUCCAUACUCUUACUGCAAAGUCACAGUACGUAGAACAGCAAUGUGCAGGUAUGCUGCGAUAGAGAUUCACAACAGAAAGAAGACUGUUGAGAGCAUCUAAAUUUUAAUGAGACAAGACUUUCGUGCACAAGGCUGCUCUUGUUAAUGUCUAACAUGAAGUUACAAACUCCCAGAAUAUAUAAAACAUGUUGUAAUGUAGAGAGCGAGGGGUGGUACAGACAUAAAGAUAAUUAUAUAAUCAUAUAUAAUAAAAUAAAAAGGGGGUACAACUGCCCCCUCAACUCAACUCGACAACUCAAUAACUCUACUUAUUCUCUACCUUACAACAUGUCAUAUAUUCUGGAAUUUUGUAACUUGAUGUUAGACAUCAAGAAGUACAGCCUUCUGUGCAAUAGUAUUCUUUCUGUUGUGCACAAUCAUUAUGCAGUAAAUGCGACUAUCCAUUUCUUGUCAUUAAAUGCUUUUCCUUUCUUUUUUUCUGCAGUGAUGAGCAUCCAUAAGGACACAUGCCAGAAAGGGAGUCUCUUUGAGAUGACAAACCCUCAUCACCUCAUGAGGAUACAAUGGUUGACGAAUGGUUCUCAAGCACAUCGAAACUUCCAACAAAUAAUUCAUGAAAAAGCCAGUCAGUGCUAGCACCAGGAAUUGAACGUGGGCCAUCCUGCUACCAGUCAGAGAUGUUCAGUGGUGUAGCCACGGGGGGGCUAGGGGGGGCUCGAGCCCCCCCUACCUGCCACGGACCGACCCACACAAAUCGUGCAAAUCCGAGAACAUAAUAUAUGGGGGGGGGGAUCAGUGUGACUAUCGCGAAAGUUCUUGCAGUUCAUGGCGUCUAUCUAAGAAGCAUUCUUGAAUGGUUUUCAAAGUAUGAGCUUUUCGAGAUACUUCCAAUCUCGUGACACCACUUCAUUGGUCAUGACAGCCUAUACAUGUAAUCGUACUGUGAACGUCUAAAUCAACUAUUUUCGUAGCUACAUCCCCUAGAAGUCAGCUGAAGUGAGCUAAGAAACUAACAGGAACGGGAAACUAUUUUUCUAUUUUUACCUUUUCAUCUUUGCAGUUUUCUUUCUCCUUUCAUUCAUUUCAUUAUUCAAUAUCUUCAAUAAUUCAAUCCCGAAUUCAAUAUCUUCCGUUUUUUUUUCUAUAAUCAAACUCAAACUCAACUAUUUUCGUUCCCUUUUUUAAUCCACAGUUUGAAGUGUGCACAAGUAUGUGUGUGUUGUCGACACAGGAUCAGCGGGGGGGGGGGGGAGUUUUCGUAUCGAGCCCCCCUACCUUUGAGGUCGGGCUACGCCACUGGAGAUGUUACAUUUCAGGCGCUCAUUGACUUUUGGUGAAUUACUUGUUGACUUUGUCCCAAGGUGGAGCUCGCUACAGCUCAUUUGCUAUCUGUUAAUGUUGUGGUGUGUGUUGCGUUUUUCUCUUUGUGUGUUCCAGACUCAGAACGGUUAAUUUGGAUCAGGUCAGGUACGUCUCAUUUAGACAUGGCAAACACAAAGUGGUGUUUCUCAACACAACUUAGCAGUGGUCUUCAUGCAUUACUGCUACGGCCAUUAAGCGUGAAUAGAAACCUAGCCAGAGCAGCUGAUACACAGAGAGAACAUAGCCUGUGUGUGUUUGACUUUUCCACCGCAGCCCUUGGGUUUCCUCCCUGAUGGCUACACAUGUCAGGGAUAGGUUUCAGAACCGGUAGUUCCCGCCAAGUGUGAAUUGCUUUUCAGGGGAUCAUCACGCUGGCAGAUGAAACAUAUGGUUUAAAUUAUUUGCAGGACAGGAAUUGCGCAGCUUCACACAAAUACUACUACUACGACGUAAGAGUAGUUUAAAAUCUAUAUUUUUUGUGUUCCUGACAUUAUCGCACAAGAUGUAGUAUCCACUAUGAUCCUUUAUGUGGGGGGUAUGUACAGUGCAAUCAACAGAUGCUAUUUACAAAUCUGUGUUUUCUACUGUGUUGAAAUGGGGUAGUUUGUAUCUGAGAGCCAUAGUGAAACACAGGCCCUCGAGAAACAUGGCAACACAUUGCAGGGACUCUGGAUGCUGCCUAAAUUUCCAGAACACACAGCCCAAGGCAGCGGUUAAAUAACAAGUGGUUAGAGAAAUCCAAGAUAGUUGCAUCCGUAAGCAGUCCGCUGUUGGAUUUGCUUCUGUCAGAGAUACGUUAUCUCAAAGGGAACGCACGGACACACUCAGAAUGAUACUAGGGCUGCCUGUGACAUAGAAUGAGGAGAGGGGAAGAUAUAUAACCCUUUUUCUUGUCUGUUGUUCUAUUGGUUAAAUUGUCAUUUUCUUAGCAGCAUAUGUGUGUAUAUUCCAGAGUCUGCUAAUAAAUAUAUCAGUUUAGAGCUAGCAGUCGCAUUGUAGAUGUCUCAUCCUGUCCUUGGUUGCUUGUGAUUCACUAUGGCCAUGCUUGCUAAUGCAAAAACAGAAAACAAAAAAAGACAAUAGAAAAACACGGAAAGAGCGACCUAAAAAGCUGCCUGUUCUAGUGCUCACAUGGAGGCAAUGCAAUGAGGUAACAUGUUCCAUUCAUGAACUGUGCAUAGUAGUACAUAUCACAACGGCAACCGAUUAUUCAGAUUUUUCUUGAAGUACUUUGUUUUGUUUUUUUUAGCUUUGUUUGCACAGUCUAUUAUUGGAGCUUUAUGUGAUUCCCCUCUUCAGAUACUUUAAGAUUGCUGAUGCUGUGCAGUUUGUUGAUUUUGAAACUGUAUUUACAAAAACAAUUGUCAUAUCUGCAUUUGAGCACAUAGGAAUAAUUUGUAAGUACUUUACUUGUUGACAUUAAUAUUUGCACCAGGUCAUAACAUUGUUGAUUUAUGGAAAAUGUAAAUAAAUAUAUUUAUUUGCUUGCCAAACAAUGCACAAAUGUCUUCUUUUCUAGUGAGAUAUUCCCUGUUCACCAGACAUAAAUGUGGAAAAGUUAAAGGGGCACAAUGAUGGUAGAGUCUAGCGUUGCUUUUUGCCACUUCACAUAUACGCACUGUUAUUCGUGUGCACAUGUAGGAAUAGGAAGGUAGAGGAUGCGCAUAAAAAAUUUCGUAUGCAGCCACACAUAUGGUUCAGAAGAUUAAUUAGAUGAUGUCCAAGCAUAUAUAAUUGUGCUUCAUGUGCAAUGGGUAUGCUAACGGAUUGCUUCCAUGAAGCCUUUUUAUUUAUUUUUUAUAAAUUCUUUUUAUAAAUGUUAUUUUUGAUUUUAUAUAAAUUUCAUAUUACAUAUUGUAUACUUAUAUUUUGAUAAAUUUUAUAAACUAAAAACUCAAGUUACACGGCCCCUGUAAGAGUGCCCUUUGCAAAUGGUUUGGUAACGUGUCUCGAACUGUAAAGGUAAGAGGCAAUCGAGAAUGCUGCAGACAAGGUUGCAACCUACAUAUUGCUUAUCACGUCCUACAUGCAAAGUGAUUUGUACAAUAAUUCCUGAGCACGGAAUUAAUCCCGAGGCUGGCCAGUGAUGUCACCCACGACCACAAGUCACAUAAUUGCCUUUAAUACUUUUACACCCCAUGGGCUGAGUUGUGAAUUGAAAGAGCACUCUACAGAAGGAUAAGGUGCACCUGAUUUCUAGGAUCUAUGCUAUGCCCUAACUCUUCAGACACCACAUUUCUAAGUGGCAAUAUGUGCUCUGGUACUUCUUUUGCGUCUGCAUAGUGUGCAACCACAUGGCUACUGGAGCUUUCGUGUGCAUGUUUUUGUGCGACGGUGUUCAUUACAAACAAUAUCCAGAUGUUAGACAUAAAAUGCAGUAGUUUGUAGCGUACCACACAACGCAGCGUGACAUGGGAGUGCGUGAUUCAAAGAAAGCUUCUGGAAAAUGCACAGAAUCCCACAAAAAGUUUAAAAUGUGAUUUGUAUUUCGUUUUACGUCUUUCGUCGUUACAUACCAUCGUCGACGCUGUUGCACAUUGAUAAAUCGUACGUAAAACUUGUCCCAUAGCAGUAUGCGGUUUCUCAAAUACAUAGCACAAUUUUCCUGCAGUAAUAAAACGCUGUCGGCAUUUUCUUGCUGACACGGCUGUCGAAACGUCAGCCUCUACAAUGGGCAAGUGCUGUAAAGGGGCUAACGCAGACGCGACUUGAUACAAAUUGUACGUGCUCACAAAACACAAACGACGAAUUCCAGUCACAAUAUCGCACAGAGGUUGGUUCGCGAAUGAGUUCGCAGCUGCUGCACUGUUUACUUAUCGCGGAACGGUGGAACCCGAAUGUCCGCCAUCUUCAAGCACAGAUACGUGAAGCCGCGAGAAGCCGUAGCUGAAAUCCACUGACAAGUACGUAGGCGCGUACACGUCACAAUGCCCGUUCGGGCGCAUCUACGUCAUAAAAAUGGCUGCGCCCAUGUGUGUUUCGGAAUGAAUUACCUAUUUUUUUGACAAGGUACUGUACCGAACUGAGAGAAUGAAGGCGUAUUUUGGGGAGAGCUGGAUGUGGGCUUUCAGAAUAUCACAACCGUUUCGACUAUUUGGGAUAUCGGCAUAGCUGACCUUUAAUCACACACUUCGAUCACACAGCUUACCCAUUACGACGCAAAUUCAUAUCCUCCUUCGUUCUUUCAUGGCUUGCAACAACGAGAAUGAAAUUAACAGAAGCAACACACCGGUCACGAACUGAUAUUGUACACUUACCUGACGGCACGCAAGACUGCAGCCGCUGCUCCAAACAAACAACAAAAGCCAACAGUCAUGGUGUGAAUACAAGUGAAGCUUAAUCACACACUUCGAUCACACAGCUUACCCCAUACGACGCAAAAUCACGGCCUCUUUUGUUCACAAAUGGACGAUAGAGCGCGGAGACCGUUCAAACAUAUUGCAACCGUUCAACGACAUUCCGAUGAUGCUAAUGGCGAUGACUCCUUCGUGACGAGGCGAGGGCGAAGCACGGAGGCGCAGAGUCAAAAUGUGGAGCAAACUUGUCGCAUGCGCGUGAUCCUCAUGUGGCCGAAUAAGUUGGAAAUAUAUUGCAUAAUAAACUGAAAUAUAAAUAAUACGAGGAAGCGCCUUCCCAAAGCCAAUGAAAAUGUAUUUAGAUCUUUAGUGUGCAGCUAAAAGGUGGCAAAGUGUCAUUUAAGCUACAUUUGAUCAUAAGUUCAGAUUCAAAUACCGCUUUGUUUAGUGGAAAGACGGUAACACUGAUCUGUCUACCUCCCGCGAGGGGUGCAUACUCAACAUGUUUUUUUUUAACUCACCCUGAAAUUGCUAAUAUUACCCAUACAGCCUGUCUUCCAAUGAAUAGAUUCACAAAUAUGCCUCUAUACAUAUAUACCGCCACCCCCUUAGGAAAUGCUCGGUACCCCCAGAGAUCGACCUCUGGGACAUUACUGGCUGAUAAUGCAGUAAUUAAUAAUACAAAAUCCAUCUAUAAAAUAAAAGGGUCGAAAUAAAUACUCAUUACACAGGUGCACAGAAAGUCCACAAAGCGUCAACAACGACACCUAUGUACAUUGUCCACACAAGGUACACAUAAGGUAUUUCAAAAGAUUGUCAACAUGAUGUCAACAGCAAUUCCUGUUGACUUGAUCAACAAGAAGUCGAAGUCAACACACUGUCAAGACAGGAAACAAGAAGACCACAAGAAGUCUGCAGAAAGACAAAAUGAAUUUUCAUACGGGUGAGCAGCUUAAUUACAGGACAUCCGCUCAAGAGAAGUUGCUUCUCACAUGUAUGGACAAAACAAGGUAUGUUGUGCACUAUCGCUUGCUGGGGUUGUACUAUAGACUGGGUAUGAAAGUGAGCAAGAUCUAUAAAAUACUACAAUUCAAGCAGAGCAAGAUAUUUGAACCAUAUAUCAUGAUGAACAUUGAGCGUCGUAGAGCAGCACAAACAGAGUUUGAGAAGAGCUUGAUGAAGCUCUCUAUAAAUAGUAUCUUUGGAAGAAGUCUUCUUAAUCCUUCUCGUUUCAGGAACAUUAAAGUAGCCUUUAGUCUAGAGGAAGCUGAACGGGUCAAGCUGUUCAAAUGGCUGUGUUCACUUCGAAAUUCUCUCUGAGAAUUGUGUGCUGUACGAAUUGAAAAAAAGAACUAUCAAAUGUAACUUCCCAUUGCAGAUUGGAUUCUGCGUGCUUGAGCACUCGAAGUAUGUCAUGUAUGAGUUCUUCUGUUGUACUCUACAGAGCAAGCUCUCCUGUACAGUCAUUCCCAUGUACAUGGACGCUGAUAGUUUUAUCCUAGAGUUGAUGACUGACGAUUAUGAAGGUGAACUGAAGAAAAUUGCAGAUGAACAUCUGGACCUGUCAUCAUAUCCUGGAGAUCAUGCAUUGUACAGUGACAAAAAUAAGGGUAAGUUGUUUAGAUUCAAGUGUGAGACUGGUGGUCGUAUAAUUGAGGAGGUAGUUGCUCUAAAGGCUAAAAUGUAUUCGAUAAAGUUGGUUGGUGAUGAUCAAAUAGCUAGAGCAAAAGGAGUGAAGAAGGAUAUACUUCGCAAGCAUUUGCUUCAUGAUGUGUACAAAAAUGUGUUGUUCAAUAGUGAAAAGGUAUCUCAUGUGCAAAGAUCAAUAUGUAGCAAACGUCAGUGCAUGUAUACCUUGGAGAAUACCAAGCUUGCUCUCAUGCCCUAUGAUGAUAAACGUUAUCAAUUCAAUGCCAUCGAUUCAUACCCUUAUGGAAGUUGUCAAAUCAAGGAAGAAAAUGUGUGAGUAUGUUUCAUUCUCAUGUUUUAAUUGCCAUCCUGUAGCAUCUUUGUUGUCUUGUAUGCUUCUUCUGUUUCAGGUGUGAAGGUUUUUCCGCUGGGGUUUUCUCCUUCACACAGAUUGGCAACACAAUUGGCAACAUAAUUGGCAAUCCCCCCCCAGCACCAUUGGCUUUAAUUGGCAUUACUAAGCAUCCUUGGCUUUAAUUGGCAUUAAUAAAAUAUUUUUCACUUGUACAAAUGUGUAUGUCUAUUGCUUGCAUGUCUUCAGGAGGAAAGUAUGCUAUGUUAAGUGCGGUAGGAAAACUCCCCGCUCGGGGAUGUAU